rnacentral:misc_RNA from 1 species
GAUGAAGAACGUAGCGAAAUGCGAUAAGUAAUGUGAAUUGCAGAAUUCAGUGAAUCAUCGAAUCUUUGAACGCACCUUGCGCCCUUUGGCUAUUCCGAAGGGCAUGCCUGUUUGAGUAUCAUGAACACCUCAACUCUUCACGGCUUGCCGUGAUGAGUUUGGACUUUGGGGGUCUUGCUGGCCUACGAGCCAGCUCCUCUCAAAUGUAUUAGCUUGCCGGUGUUUGGUGGCAUCACAGGUGUGAUAACUAUCUACGCUUGUGGUUUUCCACUAGGUAACCUUCAGCAAUGGAGGUUCACCGGAGCUCACAAAUGUCUCUCCUUGCCAAGGACAGAUUUUGACCAUUUGAUCUCAAAUCAGGUAGGACUACCCGCUGAACUUAAGCAUAUCAAUAACGGAGGA